rnacentral:rRNA from 1 species
ACGGGAGGCAGCAGUGAGGAAUAUUGGUCAAUGGAGGCAACUCUGAACCAGCCAUCUCGCGUGAAGGAAUACGGCCCUACGGGUCUUAAACUUCUUUUAUAGGGGGAUAAAGUGAGAUAUGUAUAUCUUUUUGUAGGUACCCUAUGAAUAAGCAUCGGCUAACUCCGUGCCAGCAGCCGCGGUAAUACGGAGGAUGCGAGCGUUAUCCGGAUUUAUUGGGUUUAAAGGGAGCGCAGGCGGCGAUUUAAGCGUGUUGUGAAAUGUAGUGGCUCAACCUCUGCACUGCAGCGCGAACUGGAUUGCUUGAGUACGCGGGAAGUAGGCGGAAUUCGUCGUGUAGCGGUGAAAUGCUUAGAUAUGACGAAGAACUCCGAUUGCGAAGGCAGCCUACUGUAGCGUUACUGACGCUAAAGCUCGAAAGUGUGGGUAUCGAACAGGAUUAGAUACCCUGGUA